rnacentral:rRNA from 1 species
UACAGAGGGUGCGAGCGUUAAUCGGAAUUAUUGGGCGUAAAGGGCUCGUGGGCGGUCUGUUGCGUCAGGAGUGAAAACUCGGGGCUUAACCCCGAGCCUGCUUCUGAUACGGGCAGACUAGAGGUAUGCAGGGGAGAACGGAAUUCCUGGUGUAGCGGUGAAAUGCGCAGAUAUCAGGAGGAACACCGAUGGCGAAGGCAGGUCUCUGGGCAUUAACUGACGCUGAGGAGCGAAAGCGUGGGGAGCAAACAGG